ACGCACAACCCUCAACUUCUCUUCCCGUAUCACUACCUCCUGCAACUCCCAGUCCUGUCCUGGCCGAUCAAAACCACCCCAUCCGCCAUAUUCUCUUUCUCUCCCAUCCGCAAGGCAAGACUCUCACUUCCGUAUCUCCUCGUGGUGUCAAGGAAGGGGGUUCACUUGAAGCUGCUGGUGGAGACACGGGUAGAAGUCUGGAGCUCCGCCAUAGACGUGCUUCGCUGGAACACUGUGCGCAACACAUCGCCGACGCCACCCCGACUGGUAAGGUCUCGCAUCCCCUUCCUGCUAAGUUGUUGUGCAUGCAUGCCGCCGUGGCCCGCUCCCUGGCUGAGCACCGCCGUCGGCGAGCCGCUCUGGCCGCUCCGGCGAGAGCCCGCAUGUCCCUCCCUGGCCAUUGCAGCCUGCGUCCGUCCCUGGCUGCUGUAGCCUGUGCCAGGCAAGCCGCUACCACCGUCAUGCUGUGUCCCAGCCAACGUUGCCGCUGCAUGCCUAGGCAGCCGCGCCGCCGAUGAGUCUCCACCCUGCCCGACGAUCCCCGCCCUCCCUAUGUUGCAUCGCGUGUGUCUCUAAGGUAGCAGAAAAAAACGCCGAUGCAGUUUCAACCAUGCAUGCGGUCAAGAAAAAGAGAACCGUUGGGAACCCCACCUGCAGGCUUGCCCCCCACGUCCGAUCUGCAUGUAGGAAAAUUGGAAAACAGCCUUGUGGGCCCUCUUGCAUGCAUGCACACACACGACCUCCACUCUAGUUUGCCAUGCAUGCAUGCCGCAUUCACGAUCUGCAAAACCACCGCCCCUCAUCUCAAUCUUCUACACCUACGGUCACGUAGCCCUUUGUGUGGCCUAUUUUUCAGCCAAAUAAAAUCUCGUUGCGAAAAUCCGUGAGUUGUUAUUAUUCAGUAUCUUUUAUGUUACAAAUAUGUUUCAACCCUUUUCAAUAGCAUUAGCUUAAUAAUAAUGCCAUCAAUAAGUUGAAAAUAUUAUUUUAUCGCGACAUAAGUUUUAAUUAAUUAAUUAGUUGUUCAUUCUAUAGUUAUUAAAAAUGACCUUCUAAUUAAAACUAGUUUAUAGUUUUAACUUGCGCUUUAUAAAUAUAAAUGUUAACUUGAUUAAUACCAAGUUAAACUUUUUUCAUUUAAUAUUUGUUUAGUAUAAACACGAUAUCUGUUAGUGAAUCUCACGUGUUGCCGCGCGCUAAAUCACGUGCCUUUCGCGCGUCACUCAGGUCAUUUAAUUUAUUAUUCAUUUAAUCGUUCACUAUUAAAAUAGUAAUUUAGUCAAAACUAAAUAGUAUUUUUUUAGUUUACAGUUGAUAAAUGUCAAUCAAUAUAAUUAUGCCGAACUAAUGUUCUAGCAAUACGUGUUUAGUGUAAUCGCGUUAUUUGUUAGCGAUUAUCAUGCGUCGUAGCACUGUCUGCGCACUAUUCGCAUGUGAUGUGCUCGGGGUCGCGUGCUGAUUCGUGCGUCAUUCGUGCUGGUCGCACACAUUGUUUCGUGUGUCGUCAGCGUGCUAUGUCGCACGUCGUUUGCACGCUGUCGUGUUGUUUCGCGCGUCGUGAAUUUGCCCCGCUUAGAAUCUCUCGCUUUAAUUAAAUUACUGGUUUAACUGACAACUGCUAGUGUAGUAGGUUAACCGAAACUAAAUAUUAGAUAUAAAUUAUAUUUGAUAAUGCCGAAUUAAAGGUUAUAGUUAUACUUGUUUGGCGUAAACGUGAUAUCCCUCGACCGUAGCGUCAGUCGUCUCAGUUCCGUUCUCGUGUAGUCAUAGAUGUGAAUUCUAUGUCGCGUGCAUAUUUAUUUGAUCUACAUUGUUGUAUGGUGUAUUGUUUCCUUCCGUUUCAAGAAUGUGGAUGUAUGUUUGCACUCGCGUAGAUAUCGGGUCGUUCGUGGAGUCUGAGGGAAUUGCAGGAGAGGACCCUGAGAAGCAGCAACUUGGUGAAGGCAAGUGUCCUCUGUCCCAUUAUGUCCCAUUUACUUUAUAAUACACUGUCCCGCAUACUAUGAACAACCUAAGGAUUUACUAGCUUUCUAUUUACCUUAUCCUUGUUUACCUUUCGGGUUACUAUGGUUAGCUUCAUGCUAGCGCUUUACUUUAAUCAAUGAACAUGAUGAGAUACAAUGAUGAUACUAUGGUUUUAUUCUGGAUAUGAUGAUAUACUUGUGGCAUUUAAGGGGACUCGGGCUGUUUCCCGAGUACCUCUCCAUAAGGACCUGUUCGUUGAGAGACCACCCGGGAUAACAGUGCAACCAUGAGGGUGAAAUGGGAUGCCCUUAGCUAAUUAAUUAGAGGAACUAGAGGUGUAGUUGCUUCGCCGUCGUGCCGUCAAUGGGGUCCAGGCACAGUGCUUGCUCUGCCGAGGCUGUGUGCCGAGGUUCUUUCGUUUUGCUUUUUGUUAGUCACUCUCCUGCGGGGAGGGGUACUGUGUUUAUCAAACUAGAGAAACCUAACGGACGGCUAUGACCUCUAGGGAAUCUUUGUAAAAGCUAUGUAGUGAUACCCUACCGGACCACCUAGGUAGUGGUUAAUGGGGAUUAGCUCUCCCCGGGCAGAAAGGGAAUCAUGACUCAUGGGUAAAGUGUGCGACCUCUGCAGAGGGUAGUGAAACUGAUAUAUCAGCCGUGCUCACGGUUAAGAGCAGCAUUGGGAUCCUCUUUGAUUAGAGAUACUCCGAAUACACCUCAGAUGAUGACUCUAAUGAUGAUGGUUAAUGUUGGUGACUUUAAUUAUGUAUUCUAGUAUUUCCUCUCCGAGGAGAUACUUUUUGGGAUUAUAACUUGGGCUUGAUGAUAAAAUCUGGCUUCUACUAACAAUAAAUACUUGACCAACUAAAAGCAACUGCUUGAGCCUAACCCCACAUAAAAGCUAGUUCACUUCAGCCAAACGGGGCAUUUGCUGAGUACGUUGAUGUGUACUCAUCCUUGCUUUACCACAAAACACCAGGUUGCCCACAUUGUAACCACUGCUCAGGAGAAGAUGAAGCCGUGGAAGGAGACUUCCAGGAGUUCCAAGACUACGACGAGUUCUAGGUGUGGGUUGGCGGCAACCCCCAGUCAGCUGCCUGUGAAGGCCUUAUCUUUACUGCGUUUCGCUUAGCACUUUGAUUUAUCAGUUAAGUUGAUGACUAUGUGGAUGUCUCUGACUCUGUGAUGUAAUAAGUUAAUACUCUUUUAUGUUAUUAUUCGAGCACUGUGCGAUGAUGUUCAUUUAUGUAAUCGCUGUGUACGUGAGUUCUGAUCCUGGCACGUACAUAGUUCGCAUUCGGUUUGCCUUCUGAAACCGGGUGUGACAUAAGUGAUAUCAAAGCCGUGCUGACUGUAGGACCGCUAACCUAGAGUAACACUGGCCGUUCUAAGGACUUAUUGAUUACUACUUUACCUCAUCCUUGAUUCUGCUUCAAAAUAUUAGUCACCUCGACUAAUUCUAUGAUGUGCUCCUAUACGCCCCUUUGCCAAAAGUAUUUUAUUCUAAUAUGGUCUAUACUUCUCUCAAUCUAUUAGAUCUGAUCUCACUCUUGUGCUUUCGACAUCUUUGUAGAUGCCCCCUGACCAUAACCUCCUAGUCUCUUGGGAUUCUUUUCUCUUCCAUUAUUAAAUUGCUACCAUUUGACCCUCUCUAUUCCCUUGGUAUUGACAUGCUCGUACCCCUACAUUCUUCAAUACUCUUGUUUUAAAUACUUACAUCUGAAUUUCUCCUGCCUACUUAAACACUCCAGUUUAUAUGUCCAUGACCUUUUGUCUUCUGAUAUCCCUUUCUAUUCCACUGUUAAGUCGUCAUCCUUUGCCUCUUUCUAUUCCCUUGUCUUGGUAUGCCUGGCAUACCCUAAUGACUAUUCAAGACAUUUCAGUUAAUAUGUCCUUGACCACCCUUGUUUCUUGAUGAUCCAUGAGCGGUCAUUUUAUUUUUGCACAUCCGUGGUAACCUCGUUGUUUCCUUGUAACUUCCUUAGUUAUGGAUUUUUACUUCAACUCUUCUAUUGGAACCCUACCUAUCUUACCCUUGAUUGUUUCCUCUACUUCGCCAUUCCGCGAGUCUUACCCUAAUUCUAUCCUUUGUCAUGCUUUCAUUGAUAUUAUCUUUACCUUUGUCAUCUCUACAUCUCACCCUGUUGUUUGUCUCAUACCUGCCCUCUAAAAUCUUCUCUCGUCCGUCUCAAUUUGAAAGUUGUAUCUUACCCAUUUUUCUUCAGAUGUAUCCUAUUCUUUGCUGCUUGUGAACUUUCAACUUCAUUGUUUAAUGUGUUUUGUUCGCUAUCACCUUUACCCGUGUGAUCCUACCUUGAUGCUUGUCGUAUGUCUGCCACUUAAAACCUCCCUUCUCCCCUCUCAAUUUGAGAGUGGUGCUCUACUUAUCCCGCCUUUGGUCGUAACCUCAUCUUUGCCACGUGCCAGUCUUACCUUAGCUCUAUUCUUUAUUGUACUCAUACCCUUUGUUUUUGUGCACCUUCACCUCUUAUCUCUUACACCCUUGCCUGUUAUCGCCUUUAACCCUUGUAACAUCUAUAUCUUUACCUUGGUGCGUAUUUUGAACCUACCCUUUAAAUCCUACUCUUUUCCACCUCAAUUUGAGAGUGGCAAUUUACCUAUCUGGACCUUGGACGUACCCUCUCCUUUUCCAUUUACAGGUCUUGUCUUAACUCCAUCCUUUGUGGUAUUUAUAUUCUUGGUUCUUAUGCACAUUUACCUCCUCUCCUACAUCCUUGUCCGUUAUCACCUUUAAACCCUUGUGAUACCUAUGCCCUUGUCCACAUGCUUAGUUUCAACGUACCCUUUAAAGCCUCCUCUUUUCCAUCCCUGUUCGGGAUAAUGCCUCACCCACUUCACCGUUGGCUGCUUCCUCUUCUUUGAUGCCUUGCAAGUUUUGUCUAAAAUACGUCCUUUGUUGUGUGUUUGUCCAUUAUCACUUUAACCUUUGUCAUCCCUUGAUCUUUACCUUGAUGCUUAUCAUGUACCUGCAUUUUAAAGACGCCUCUCCCAUUUUAUUUCAAGGGUGAUGUCUUAUCCCCUCCCCUGUGAUACCCGGUUUGCAAAGAAGAGAAGUUGGAGGUUGUUCUUUUUGUUUUUUUUCCUCAUCCGGUUGUUGUUUUGGAGAUUUGGGAUUUUAUGGAAAACAUUCACAACUAGGGCAGUAGAAUUUAUUUGGUUUGACGCUUGCGUUGUGGUCGGGAGCUGUCGCGUGGGUUAGUUGGGCCGCAAUUGGAGUUUCGGCCCAUUAACCCUCCCAAACCCUAGCCGUCUCCCUCCUAACCCCCUCCCCCCAUGUGCAGCCGCCCCCCCCCCACUUCUCUCCCCCCUUGGCCGCCGCCCCCUGCCCAUCUCCUCCUCUCUCAAUUCUUGCAGCCACCAAACCCUAGCCCCCCCCCCCCUCAAUCCCCUCCUCCCAAGGUGCCAAUCCUUGCCGCUCGGAUCAUCGUCGUCGUGGUGCGAGUCUUCAAUCGUUUUGGUGGAGGGAAGAAGGGAGGAAGGAAAGGGGGAGAAUCCAAGGUGAUUUUUGUGUUCAUCCCUUGUUCAUUUGCGCUGCAAUUUAAUUGAUUAGAGGUUGCGUUUGCGAUUGGGUGGAGGGGGCUGUCCAGAAUUUUAGGUGGUGGGUGAACAGCAGUAGUCUAGCAGUUUCUAUGUUUUUUCGUGAGGAAUUAAGGGAAAUCAGUUUGGGGAUCAUGUAGAACUUUACCUUACCUUUCCAACGAGUAUUUAUGCGCUCAAUUUGGAGUUAUAAAUUGAAAGUUAUCACCGUUUGAAUCCGGGUAUGUGGCUGUCCAAAAAAACAGAUUUUCAGGGGGAUGAACAGCAGAAGUAUUAGCAGUUUCUGGGGAUUUUUCGGGAGUAAUUAGUGUUAAUAAGUAUGAGAAUCAUGUAGGGCUUUAUGUUAUCUUUCCAACAAGUACUUAUGCGCUCGAUUCGGAGUUAUAAUUCAGGAGAUAUCGUUGUUUGAAUCCGGUUAUGUUGCUGUCCAAAAAAACAGAUUUUUCAGGUGGGUGAACAGCAGUGGUAUUAGCAGUUUCUGGGAAUUUUUCGUGGGUAAUUAGUGUUAACCAGUAUGAUAAUCAUGUAGGGAUUUGUCUUAUCUUUCCAAUGAGUACUUAUGCGCUUGAUUUGGAAUUAUAUUUUAAAAGAUAUCGCUGUUUGAAUCUGGGUAUGUCUCUGUCCAAAAGACAAAGAAAAACAGAUUACAGGGUUCAUCUUGUGGACUGUUUUGGGCUAAUUAGAUAUUGGAAUUUAAUUAUAAAUUGUAUACAAAACUUGUGGGGAAUUUUAUGUAGAUGCCUCUGGAGUUUUUGUUUGUUACCACUGCUGUCAUAAUUUUAAAGUUAUGAAAUUAUUAAGCAGCGCCGCUGCAGUUUGGUGGGUGUAAGGAGAGAUGUAACCCGCGGCGGGGUUUGAGUUUGUGCGUAGGUGCGGCGUCGCUUAUGAGCCUGAUUAUGUGAAAUUGGUGUACUAAGUUGGGUGUCAAAAACAGGUGGUGGACUUCCGGAUCGUACUUAGGGAUUUGCCCGAACUUCCGGUAAAGGCAAGUAAAUACAGUGGUGGUUGCUACCGUUUGGUUUGCAUCCUAUUCCCUGUCAUUGAGUAUGCAUAAGUUUUAAUUAUGUUAAUCAUUGAAUUCUAUGAUGAAGUUUAUUUGUUUGGAAGUAUUAAUUCUCAAUUGUCUAAUAUUGUGGAUGAUCAUAAUUUGGUAAUGAUAUAUGUGGUUGAUUCCCAUCUGGAUGAAGUUGAAGUGUCUUUUGAAUCAUGUUAUAUGAAGUGUUGUAGGCAUGACAUGUACAUCGCAUCAUCCAUCUUGCAUUUUGAAGUUAUGUCGUGAUCUUAUGGUCCGACCGUACCGGUACAUUUUUAGCAUCGUACGUUGCCCGAGGAGGGGUACGAUGCGGCUUCAUAUCCUUAGAGGUAUGAAGGCAGAAGUCAUCCUUGCAUUUGCAGACAUUUGCACUCAUGAGGAAUAUAUGAAGUGUGACAUUACUAUGUUACUAUUGUGGUUUCUACCUGCGAGGUGUGGUAACUAGGUGCGUUGUACGUUGUAUACGUGCUACACCUUCGUAAUAGGAAGGUUGUGGAAUCAAGUGGUGGUAAAACAAUGUUCUUAUGUGGUUAAACUGUUUGAUAUUAUUUUACUUGCUGAGAUGUGUCAUCUCACUCUUGCAUUACUCAAUGCAGGUACUUGAUACAUGUUGGGAAUGAG
rnacentral:lncRNA from 1 species